rnacentral:rRNA from 1 species
UAAUACGGAGGGUGCAAGCGUUGUUCGGAUUCACUGGGUAUAAAGGGUGCGUAGGCGGCCUUUUAAGUCAGAGGUGAAAUAUGACGGCUCAACCGUCAAACUGCCUCUGAAACUGAAAGGCUUGAGUUCGAGAGAGGAAGGUGGAAUUCCAGGUGUAGCGGUGAAAUGCGUAAAUAUCUGGAGGAACACCAGUGGCGAAGGCGGCCUUCUGGCUCGAAACUGACGCUCAGGCACGAAAGCAUGGGGAGCGAACGGGAUUAGAUACCCCGGUAGUCCAUGCCGUAAACGAUGGAUACUAGGUGUUGGAGGAGUCUACCCCUUCAGUGCCGCAGCUAACGCAUUAAGUAUCCCACCUGGGGAGUACGAUCGCAAGGUUG